rnacentral:lncRNA from 10 species
GUGUAACUUAUUCUGAAAUGAGUUAUAGUUUACAAGUAUUUUCAAAUCUUUGAGAAAAUAAAUAACUUACAAACUUAAUGACCUAUUUCAUCUAUACCUUGUCCUCAUCUGAACAUGUGAGAUGGAUUUAAAAAGAUAAAAUACUUCCCCUGACCCUAGAGGAGCAAAAAACUAUAUGGCAUACAACAAACACCUGUCUGAUAUUAUUGUUGAUGACAUUUGUCCAGCUAAAUAAAGCUUAUUUUUCUCAGGCCACAAAUGUAUUUCUCAAAUCCUGGAAAAAUGAACAGCAAAAAAUAAUUCUCUAUUCUCCCAUCUUCAAAGGCACAUGUCUUAAAGUGAACCACAGCUUUUAGAGAAACGAAGGAUUCUGUUUCUGGAAUGAGAAAUGUUCAAGAUGAGCCUGGAAUAUCAUGCCAUGCCAGGAAGUAAAGAGACUUUCAAAACCUGUGGAGUUGUAUCAAAAGAACUAAGGUGUAAUUUAACGAGUCUUUCACUUGUCAAGAUAAUGAAUUUAUACAUGAGUGGAAACAGUAACUGUAAUGAUUGGAAUAUAUAAAAUGUAUUAAUUUCCAUGAAUUCAUAAUAAUAAUAAAGAUAAAAUGGAUUGGAUCAACUUUGUUGGAUGCUGUAACAAUGAAUUUUAGCAAAAAGUGAUAAAGAAAUGUAUCAAACUGCAUUUUCCAAGACGAUAG